GAGUUCAAGGCCAGUCUGGUCUACAUAGUGAGUUCCAGGACAGCUGGGGCUACAGGGAGACUCUGUCUCAAAAAGACCAAAAAAAAAAUUCUGCCGAGAAUGACCUUUUGGUGUUCUGUGCCGCUUUUUCCCGGGAAUGUGGCCUCCAACCUUGGUGACCGCUAACGUCACCACUUCUCUACAAGGCGUUUCCGCCUGAGGGGAGAGCAUGUGUAGAUUUGAGAAAUCUGUCUAGCGGGGUCUCCCUGUAGCCCCAGCUGUCUUGGAACUCUAUGUAGACCAGGCUGGCCUUGAACUCACAGAGAUCCACCUGCCUCUGCCUCCCAAGUGCUGGGACUAAAACGCAUGCACCACCACACCCAGCUACUAAUUUCAGAUUUUAAUACACCUCUUAAGUAGCUUGAACUCCUUUCUUAUUUCUUGUUCAUAUUGUUUAGUCUUUUCUCCACUUUAGACAGGCUUACAUUAGCUUUGGAGGUGCUUUAUCAAGAUGCAUCAGCAUCUUUGUUUUUAUUUUAGCAUCUGAAAACAUUAACAUUUGUUAAAAUAGGUGACAUUGAUCCCAAAGCUACACACAUAGCCAGUCUUAUCAAAACAGUGUGAAAGUAGAGCCAUCUGAAGAAAAUCCAAGCCUCAGAAAUUGGACUGCAGUCAGUUGUAUUGUUCAAGCCAAGAAUAGGAGUGAAGAAGAAUCUUUUCCUCCUCUAAAGUGAUGGAAGCAGAACAGCAGCCAUGGAAACCAGACUUUUACAUGGAGUUGCCCAAAGUGGAACUCCAUGCCCACUUGAAUGGAUCCAUUAGUUCCAACACCAUGAAGAAAUUAAUGGCCAAGAAGCCAGAUCUUAAAGUCCAUGGCCAAAUGACCAUGAUUGACAAGGGAAAGAAAAGAACUUUAGAAGAAUGUUUCCAGAUGUUUCAAAUUAUUCAUCAGCUUACUACUAGACCUGAGGAUAUUCUAAUGGUCACAAAAGAUGUCAUUAAAGAAUUUGCAGAGGAUGGUGUCAAGUAUCUGGAACUGAGGAGCACACCCAGAGGAGAAAAUUCUACUGGAAUGACUAAGAAGGCUUAUGUGGAGUCCAUACUUGAAGGCAUAAAACAGUGUAAACAAGAAAACUUAGAUAUCGAUGUUAGGUAUUUGAUGGCAAUUGACAGAAGAGGUGGCCCUACAGUAGCCAAGGAGACUGUUAAGCUAGCUAAAGAGUUCUUCCUGUCUACUGAGGAUACAGUUCUUGGCCUUGACCUCAGUGGAGACCCUACUCUAGGACAAGCAAAAGACUUCUUGGAACCGCUCUUAGAUGCUAAGAAGGCAGGUCUGAAGUUGGCAUUGCAUCUUGCAGAGAUUCCAAAUAAAAAAAAGGAAACACAAAUGCUGCUGGAUCUGCUUCCUGACAGAAUUGGGCAUGGAACAUUCCUCAACUCCUCUGGGGGAGGAUCCCUGGAUCUAAUAGAUUUUGUAAGGCAGCACCAGAUACCACUGGAACUUUGUUUGACCUCAAACAUCAAAAGUCAGACGGUUCCAUCUUACGAUAAGCAUCACUUCAGAUUUUGGUACAGCAUUGCUCAUCCUUCUGUGAUCUGUACUGAUGAUAAGGGUGUUUUUUCAACAUACCUUUCUCAAGAAUACCAACUGGCAGCUGAAACAUUUAAUUUGACCCAGUCUCAGGUAUGGGAUCUGUCUUAUGAAUCCAUCAACUACAUCUUUGCUUCUGACAACACCAGAUCUGAACUGAGAAAGAGGUGGAAUCACCUGAAGCCAGGAGUGUUACGCUUUUAAGCUGUAUGAGGUGAACCACUUUCGAUUAUAUGUUGUACCCAACGUUGUCCUGCCAUAUCCACUUAGUAAACUGUCUGUUACUUCCUUGGAAGUAGUAGCCAAGGACAUGUGCUCUUAACACCAGCCCCUUACAUAUGAAAAAUGCUCAAAUGUCUUAAGCUGACUAGCAGGCCCUGAGGUCUUACACGGCUUUACAUUGAUGCUCCUUGCUGGAGGAACUGGAGGUUUAACUGAAUUCCCCAGUGCACUAAUGAAUUUUUUUUUUUAGUUAGCAUUUCUUCUCCAUUAGUGAUCAUAAAACUUUCAGGAAGUCAAAGCAAUUUCUCAUCAGGAACACUGUCAGGAUUAUUAGUCCAAGAUUGCAAAUAAGUAAAGGCUAUCUACUCCAACCAUUGCACUUCAAUCCUAGCCGGUGCAGUAAGAGUGAAAUAAAUAAGGCAGCUGAUAAGUGCUGGGUGAGGGUAUAAUUGAAUCUCUCUCAAAUGGGCUUCCAUAUCUGCAAAACACUCAGAGGCUACAUUACGUCAUCUAUAUAAUGAAACCUGUUUCCAGAGGAUGGGCAGGACAAAAGUGCAACGGUCCCAAACCAUCAUCCCGUAAUGAAUAGUGGAGUUACAAAGAUAAACUGGUGAAGAGCUGAAAGCCCAUUGUCCUCUGUUCUAAAUAAGUGUCACGUGACUACAGAAAUUUAAAACCAACAAGAUACUAAGUCAAACAAAGUCUAAAGCAACAUACAAAGAUUUUGUCCAUUUGUAUCCGUUGUUUUCUCAGUAGAUCCAUGUUGGGUACAAUAGCACAGAUAAGAGACAUUUAGUUAGCUCUUUAUAGUCUUUAGUCAUUUUCUUGGAGCCAUUCCAUUUCCGUAUCCUUGCGCUCUUACAUGAGGCCUGCCUAUAUUUCUCUAUCCCUGGUAAACUAUUUGGGGCUGACUCAAGCUGCUUAGUCUUGCAUAGGGUCAAGGGAGAAUUAGGCCUCACUUUCCCCUGCUAUACCUGUUGGUUCCCUGGGUCUGAUCAGCCCUGGGUCUGCCCCGUGGCUGUAGCCAUCCAUAGCUGUUGCCUCUCCAUCCACUAUAACUGGCUGCUGGGAGAUGCCCUGGCUGGGCAAACUUUCUGUACCCCUAGCAUAACCUUUAGCAGGAGGGAAAUAGACCCAGCUUAGUCUAGGGGGAUCAUUACCCACCCCCUGGGAUGGGUUUGGUUUUCUGCAGCUGUAUUGUUUUGCCAUGGAUGCCUUCUGUGAACUGCUCCUCAGGCCUUAGCACCUUCCAGAAAUUCCUUAGCACAGCAUAUGAUUUCUUGCCCAUUUUUUUCAUAGGAACUCUGGCUGGACACAAAUCUUGCCACAUUUUUCCUUUAUCUCUUUUAGGUUGCUCUACCAUUUUAUAGACACACUUUACACACUGGUCUAAGUCUGUCAAAGCCUUUCCUACUUCAUGAAGAUCCUGCUUCACUAAGGGACUCAGCAGAGCCACUAAAGCUCUGUUCUAGUUGCUUUCCAUUGCUGUGACAAAACACUCUG